GACGAACGCUGGCGGCGCGCCUAAUACAUGCAAGUCGAACGAGAGCGACUGGUGCUUGCACUGGUCAAUCUAGUGGCGAACGGGUGAGUAACACGUGGGUAACCUGCCCAUCAGAGGGGGAUAACAUCCGGAAACGGAUGCUAAAACCGCAUAGGUCUUCGAGCCGCAUGGCUUGAAGAGGAAAAGAGGCGCAAGCUUCUGCUGAUGGAUGGACCCGCGGUGCAUUAGCUAGUUGGUGAGGUAACGGCUCACCAAGGCCGUGAUGCAUAGCCGACCUGAGAGGGUGAUCGGCCACAUUGGGACUGAGACACGGCCCAAACUCCUACGGGAGGCAGCAGUAGGGAAUCUUCCGCAAUGGACGCAAGUCUGACGGAGCAACGCCGCGUGAGUGAAGAAGGUUUUCGGAUCGUAAAACUCUGUUGUUAGAGAAGAACAAGUGCUAGAGUAACUGUUAGCGCCUUGACGGUAUCUAACCAGAAAGCCACGGCUAACUACGUGCCAGCCGCCGCGGUAA
rnacentral:rRNA from 1 species